AAGUGACGGAGUCCAGGGCGGGACGGGGCGUGUUGUGCCGGGCCCAGUUCCGCGUUGUGCCGGGCCCAGCGGAGCUGCUGGAGCGUGGGGCAGCAGCUUUGCCAGAGGAGUUGCUUUGGGCUCGAGUGCUGCAGAGCUGAGGACGUGGCUGGGCUCUUCCACUGCCUUCAGAUCCUGGAGAAGUGGUGGAGAGGGAAUAACUGUGAGGAGCUGGAAGGGAUCUCCACACGUGACUGAUCUAUGAAAUGGCAGAGAAUGGCACAGACUGUGACCAGAGACGCAUAAGAAUGAGCAAAGAACAGCACAAUGGGAACUUCACAGAUUCCUCAAUGUUGAGUGAGCGGAAGCGAAGGGAGCGAGAGGAGAGGUUGAAUAUUGUACUGUGGAAAAAACCGCUUGUUACCUUGCAGUAUUUUUGCCUGGAAACUCUAAUAAACUUGAAGGAAUGGACCAUAAAAUUGUGGCGUCGGCGAGGGCUCCUGGUGUGUGCGUUGCUGGCACUGGCGGUGCUCACAGCCCUGUACUACAUCGAAGGAGCACAUCAACAGUAUGUGCAGUAUAUGGAGAAGAAGUUCUUCUGGUGUGCCUACUGGGUAGGAUUGGGCAUCCUCUCCUCUGUUGGGCUUGGAACAGGUCUCCACACCUUUCUGCUCUACUUGGGUCCACAUAUAGCCUCAGUCACUCUUGCUGCCUAUGAAUGUAACUCUGUGAAUUUUCCUGAGCCUCCUUACCCGGAUCAAAUUAUCUGUCCUGACGAGGAGACAGCUGAAGGCUCCAUCUCCUUGUGGGCAAUCAUCUCAAAAGUCAGGCUGGAGGCCUGCAUGUGGGGUGCUGGUACAGCCAUUGGAGAGCUGCCCCCGUAUUUUAUGGCGAGGGCAGCCCGGCUGUCGGGUGCUGAACCUGAUGAUGAGGAGUACCAGGAAUUCGAGGAGAUGCUGGAACACGCAGAGACUGCACAAGACUUUGCUUCCCGGGCUAAACUGGCUGUGCAGAACCUGGUGCAGAAGGUUGGGUUCUUUGGGAUCCUGGCCUGUGCCUCGAUCCCAAACCCCCUGUUUGACCUGGCUGGGAUAACUUGUGGCCACUUUCUGGUUCCCUUCUGGACGUUCUUUGGUGCAACCUUGAUUGGAAAAGCCGUGAUUAAAAUGCACAUCCAGAAACUCUUCGUUAUUAUCACCUUCAGCAAACACAUCGUGGAGCAGAUGGUGGCCCUCAUCGGAAUGUCCCAAGGAAGAAAGCCCUGGAGCCUCCUGGACUGCCUGGGCAUUGGAGCGUGGCUCAGGUGGAAACCACGUCAAACCUGGGCCCAUUUCAGCUUUGUAACCUCCACCAAGAUCUUUCCUUUCCUCAUCUCAUAAAGCAAAUGAAGCUGCCAAGGAGCCUUUUAAUCCCAAAACCUUCCUGUUGACCCUGACCAUAAACCAGAUUUAUUUUCUGCGACUUCAGAGCUGUGGGCACAGAAAACAGCUCAGCUCCAGAGCUGUUCUGAGGCUGAGGGUGGUGCUGGGAGCUGGGGGCUCUGCUUGCUCCUCAGGGGCUGGGGAGCCCAGGUUUGGCUGGAAAGGGAGCUGGGUCCAGCUUUGGGAAGCCUCAGCUCCCAGGAUUCAGGUUUUGGUCAGUCCCAACUCCCAGGAUUCAGGUUUUGGUCAGCCUCAGCUCCCAGGAUUCAGGUUUUGGUCAGUCUCAGCUCCCAGGAUUCAGGUUUUGGCAGCCCCAGGUUUCCCUAAGCCUAACCCAGGUUUUGAGCAGCCCCAGGUUUCCCUAAGCCUAACCCAGGUUUUGAGCAGCCCCAGGUUUCCCUAAGCCUAACCCAGGUUUUGAGCAGCCCCAGGUUUCCCUAAGCCUGACCCAGGUUUUGAGCAGCCCCAGCCCCAGGUUUCCCUAAGCUCAAGGCAGGUUUUGGGCAGCCCCAGCUCCAGGGCUGAGUCAGGCUGAGGCUGAGCCCCUCUGAGUCACUGCAGGGUCCUGCUGGUGGUGGAGCCUCAGGGAAGUGGAUGGUUUAAAUACUGUGAGAAUCUUUAUCAGCACAGGAAAUGACAGCUCAUUAAAAUACUAACCGUUGAGCCAGUUUAGAUCACUGUCUGGAAAAAGAUUAACCAUUGAAGGCUCACAGGGCUCACAGGAAGAAAGGUGCCCUGUUGAGACAAGGGACACGUUAUGCAAAUGAAAUCAGCUUUGCUAAUUGGCCAGUGGCAUAAAAAUAUUUCCACUGGAAUCUAUUUUUCAAUGGUUUUUAAAAUAUCUGACUUCCAAAGAAGUCGAUACCACCUUGCUGGAGUGAAACUUCUGAGGGAGGGGUGGCUAAAAUAUCCUAAAUACUAAAAUACUAAAAUUCAGUGCCUGUUCCUAAAUGUUUUAUUGCUUUGGAGCUGCAGGAUGGAUUUUUCUGUUCUCAUAGGGGAAUGGAGAAAUGGGAAUCUCAUACAAUUGGUGUUGGUGGGAUUGUUUAAUGUUUUCCAUAAAUGUUGGGAAGGUGAAAGCCUUUGCCUUCCCCCUCUGACCUGGCUGUCAAUAAUCUAAUUGAAAUAAAUUAUUUGAAAUGAGCUGAAGGUGUGGAUAGGGAGGAUCCCAUCCCAGGACUUUGUGGGAUCCUUCAGUGUCACUUCCCUCCCUUUUCUGCAGCAGGAGAUAAUUCCUGGCUUGGGCAGUGUCAAACCCACCGGGGUUUGCUGCUCCUGUGUCCUGUUGUCUUCAUUUGGAAGAAGGAUUUCCCAAAGGAUGUUUUCCUCUGGCUGUUUCAGCCCCAAAGACCAAAUCUGGCCAAAACCUGCUGGUGUUUGCCCCAAGUGUGUCUGAGGAAAAGGGAUUUUCCAAGCUGAGGGAUAUUGUGAAUAUUGGAGGGAUUAUCCAUAAAAUGGGGCUGUGACUCAAUAUUGCAUCACCUUCCCCAGGUGUGUCCAGCCUUGUUUGCACCUUCUGUUCCCCCACAGAGCUCUGCUUUCCCUGCAGGUUAGAAUUUCCGUGAUUAAAUUAAAUUAAAUUAAAUUAACUCCUGUAUUUGUGCCCCCCUCUCCCCCAGUGCUCCCAGUUUCCUGAGCAUCCCAUGGGGAUGGAUCCCAGUUGUUCCCAGGGCUGUCUGAGCUGAGGUUCUCAUUCACAUCUUUGAUUUCCAUCAGGAUCAGUUUAAGCACAGCUCAUGGUUAUUAAUCAGCUGCUUCAGCAUCACUUGGUGUUCGAGGCCUCCAACAAAUGGGAAACUUCCAUAAACUUUCAAAUUUUCAUUCAUGAAAAAUCCCAUGGUUUUAUUCCCAAAAUUUGAGUCUACAGUGGCAGCUCCUUUUUUUCAGAAAACACUUCUGAUUUCUAACAUUUCUCUCUGGACAAGUGAACAAAUAUCCACGUGUGAUUUAAUAAAAUGGGAAUUUUAUUUCUUAAUUUAUGGCAUGACCAAUUUUUUGUGAGAUAUUGGUGCAAUGACAGUGAGGGGCCAGAGAUCUGUACUUCAGGAUUUAGCAGAAUUAAUUCCUUGAGUGUUCCCAACCUCUCAAAGCACAGGCUGAGAGAUUUUAGUCACUCAAGAGCUCCUAAAGACCUUGUAAAAUGAAAAUGAUGCCUUUCAGAAGUGCAAAUACCAUCAUUAAAUAGUUAUAAAUAAGUAUUUUUAAUAUUAGUAAAAACUCAGAUGACUGGAAUAUCAAAUAACUUCCUAAUUUUUGUAAGCUGGCCCAGGGAAAAUAGAAUUUUUUUCUCCUCUGGGUUUGAUGCUUCAUCCUGGUGCCUUUGAGAAAAAUCUUUCUAUAGUUCCAAAGGUUCUGUUAAACAGAUUUAAAGUUUCCCAAAAAUCAUUUAAUGACCAGUGAAAGACAUUUGAGGUGCAACUGUUGACAGUUGUUCUUGGAAAAGCAAAUUUAUAAAUUUAAACACAGAUUUGCUGUAACUGGGCUGGGAGUUUUUGGAGCCAGACUCUGCAGGUUCUUUGUGUAAUUUUGAAUUUUUAAAUUUUAAAUUUUUAAAAUAAUCCUUGAGCAACUUUGCUGAAUCUCUGUCAUGUGGUGCUUCAAACAGAUGGGGAGUUUUGUUUUAUUUAUUGGAAAAGAGCUUUAGAAUUUGUCUUUUAGAUAGAAAUUGUAGCUUUAAAAAGUGCAUCUGUUUAGAUACAAAUAUCAGGUAAUUGUUCUGAAAACAGGCACCAAGAGUGUUUUUCCAGUGAAUCCAAAUUUUUAAUGGGUGUUUCUGUUGUAGUAUUAGAAUGGAAAUCAUGGUUUUGACUGAAAUAUUAUGAUUUUAGUGAAUUUAGGAUUACCAAAGGCUACUGCAAUUUUGGGAAGCUUGUUCUCAAUUUCAACUCCCUGUGAAACAUUGAAAUUUAGCAAAAAAUCAGAAUGAAUCCAAAAGAAAAUUUAGUAUUUAAUGUUAAGAGUUUCUAAAACAACUUCUGAAUCAAAACAACUUCUGAAUCAGAAUUUCUCCUUCCAUAUUCUCGAUUUGAAAGACAAUGGGUUUGAUUCCCGAAGGAAGGGAAUUGGGUUUGGAUUAUUCGGGGUUUAUCUUCCAGCAUCUUCCUCCUCCAAUCCUGGGAAAUUUGCGGUUUUUUGGAGGUGCUGAGUGCAGGAAUUGUGAUGCAAAUCCCACAAAAUUCAUCCCCAAUUUCCCCCCUGCUCCUGGGACCAGCCCUGAGGUUUGCAGGGACACAAAACUCUCCCUUAAUUCUAAUUACAUUAAAUUAUUUUAAAGAUUUAUAGAUUGAAGAUUAUGCCUUCGUAUAUCAAGUGGCACAUAACCAGGUGAUUAAAUGAUUUAAUUUUAUUCAAAAAAGCACCAUUAAUUAACACUUUGAUGGGAUUUCAAGAAUUGCAUGUGGAUUCCUGAUUUUUUAGGUUUUCCUCUGCUUUUUUUGCUCCUUCUUUAAAUCUGUGCACAUUUUUUGCAGAAUUAAAGUCUUUACAAAUGUAGAAAAAAUAGGAGCUGAGCUCCUUGCAUUUAGGAUCUUGCAGUUCUUCAAAAUUGCUUUGAUAUAAUUAAUUUUGUGCACUUAACUAAUAGUUGUGCCCAGAAAAGGAAAUAAAAAGUGAAUUAUUUAGUGAGAAAAUUUUUGAAAUAUUGUUUUGGUGCACCAGGAGCUCCUCAAGUCUCUGAACUUGGGUUUUAUGUCUUUGUUCUGGGUUGAAUUCAAUUUGGGGACUGACAGAGUUCAGUUUUCGGUGAGGAGCGGAGUCAUUCGAACACCACCCUGUUAAUCAUUGAUCCCUCAUCAUUUAAAUAUUCCUCAUUCCAUAAUCAUGCAGAAGUUCAAAAGUAAACCAUUACCUUACAGUCGCUCUUCAGGGCUCCCAAGAAUUGUUUGAGAAAGAAAAGAAACCUCAAAAUGUCGCUGAUGUUGCGAGCGUGACUCGCGCCGCGCUCCCUGGGAGAGCUUUUCCCAGGAAUAAUCAUUGCUGAGCCACCUCUGGAUCACCAGGAAUCCUCUGGAACAUUGACACAUCUCCUGUAAAAUGGAUGAGGGAUGUGCUUUGGACUCCACAGGUUGUUUUCGUUUUUUUUUCCCAGAAUUUUUACCAGUCCGGGCACUGAAUUUCCUCAGCCGGUGAAUCACGGGGGAAGCGACCUUUUGCUGGGAAAUGGGUUCAAAAAACCCUCCCUUUGCCCCCGGCCAUGGAGGAAAUAAAUAGAUUUACUGGAGGACAAUGAGACACUUUGUUUCGUGCUUUUCAUAAAUCCCUAAAAUUAGAAAGCUGUUAUUUUUUAAUUGGGCUUCGGCCUGGAAAAGGGAAUAUGGUGUCAGAUGAGGAGGCUGAGGGGAAUGGGUUGAGCUGCUGGAGGAUGGACAAUUGUACAACUCCUUGGAUGUACUCCUGGUGUAUCUCGGGUCUGGAGGGUCUUACUAAGCCCUCCCUGGAGUAGCAGCAGGAGUAGUGAAUAUAAUAAAACAGAAUAAUCAACAUUCAGGUGAAUUUUUUAACGUAGAAGGACCACAGUGAUUUCUUUAAAAACAACCAAAAAUCAGAAUCUCCUUUCUCUUGGCACUUCAGAAGCCCCUGGCUGAGUUAGGAUGGGGUGAAUCCAACUUUGGGAAUGUUCUCCCCACGGAGCUCAGGCCGUGGGGCUGCUGCCGGUCAUUUGGGGUUUGUGUUUGAAGGGUUGUGACAUGUGGCAGGGUUUGGGGUGGCACCGAGGGGACGCGUUCGGGGGGGCUCUGUGCGAGCCCCGAGAGCCGGGCCCGGGCCGGGCAGGGCUCGGAGCCGCUCCUUUGUUCCUUUGUUCCCCCCGGCUCGGGGGAGGCGCUCCAGGAUCGCUCCCGCAUUCUUUUUGGGAAGGGAUGACGCAGGAAUUGUCCUAAAAAGGACUUGGCUGGGCAGAGGGGCCGGCUCCGAGCGGGAGAGGGGCGAGGCUUGGGGCGAGCAGUUGCUUUUUUAACCGAGGGAUGAGACAAGCCCCAGCCAUUUCCUCAUUAAUCGGUUCAAACCAGUUCUUACAGGAACUGCCGCUGAUAAAUGUGGGACUUCUCCGAAGUCAUUCAUUGGGUUCUCAGCGCUGCUGCCUCCCAGGAAAUGCUCCGCUCCCGGCUUCCUCCUCUCUUCCCAGCGCUGCCUUGCUCAGAAAUAUUUUUCUUUUUAAGCACUUUUUGAGGAUCUGGGGAAAUGCAUCCCUCCCGAAGUAUCAGAUCAAAAGAUGAAAUGUGGUUUAUUUCGAGGGUUUCUGUUUUCUCGAGUAGCUUCGAGUUCUCUGCUGAGCGGAGGCUCAGCUUGAACUUUGUUCUGAUUAGGUAAAGUGGUAAGUUUAAAAAAAAAAAUGGUUUUUGUUUUUUUCUCCCCUAUUUUGUCUUGUUCUCUGGGAUGAACUUUCCAUCAGUGCUAUUCCGAGUAUAGGUCCUUCUCUUCAGAAGCCAUUUCAAGAAUAUUUGGAAGCUCAGAGGAUAAAACUUCACCACAAAUCCGACAGUGCUGUACCACAGGGGGAAAACUGGCUAUCCUGGAUAUUUGAAAAAUUGGUGAUUGUCAUGGUUUGUUAUUUUAUCUUAUCUAUAAUCAACUCCAUGGCCCAGAGCUAUGCCAAGCGACUGCAACAGAAGAUGUACUCAGAAGAAAAAACCAAAUGAGCUUGGAAAAAAUGGGAAAAAACCCCUCAGGAUGGGUUUUGGCAGACACGAGAAAUGACACAUCUUUUCAUAUGUUUAAAAAUCAGCAUUAUUCAAAAGGGGGGAAAAAUUUUUAACAUCGAUUUUCAACUCUUAACAAGUUUUUUUUUUUUUGGGUCUCAUUUUGAAAGUAAUUUGGAUAUUAGAACAACGGUUUCAUUGACAAACAUAAAUGUUACGGUAAGGUGUAAAUGCUUCACGAGUCUGGGUGGUGUUUUACAGGAUGGACAAUGGGAUGUUAAAUGGAGUUUAACACAAAUGUUGUCCAUCCAAAUUACUUCCAAAACUGAUGAUUUAAUACUCUCCAUCUUCUGAUUUAACUUCAGACUGACCUGAGGGUAACGUUUUCUUUUCAAGGGUGGCUGGUUUGCUUUUUCCAUAAGUUUCAAGACCAUGAAAAUGUAAAUAAUUGAGUACAGGUCGGGUACAAACUGUUGCAUGUCCCUCAUGGUAAGGCUGUUCCGUCUGAAUUCCCAGUGUCCCAUUGCAUUGCACGCUGGAAAAGCCACCCUCUCCAACUUCAUGAUGUUAGCAGAGAUGGUUGAUGUCAAAAUGCUGAAGCCAACAUUUUUUAUUCUGUAUAUUUAGAAUGAAGUUAAGAUAAAAACUUUAUAAAGUCAUCUUAUGAUCAUUCCAGAAUUCCUUGUGUCAGUCUUUUAAAGCUGUUUCUUUUCCUCUCUCUCUUUUGGAUGCUCUGUGCAUGUUUGCUCAUCCUUCCUGCACUAAUGGUGCUCAAACCCUUUGUUCUUUUUUUUUUUUUUGUUGUUCUUUUUUUAAAUUCUUUUUUCUUCAGAACUUCUUGCUUAGCAAAGGGAGGAGGAAGGCCAUGCCUGGCUUGAAGCACAGUCACUGCUUAAAUAGGUUAAAUAGAGAUAAAUAGGUUAAAUAGAAAACACGAUUGGUUAUCCUAAAUUUUGCUCAGGUGUUUGCCCCUGAGCCCAGAACUGUGGGCAGUGGAGGAGAAGAGAGGGAAAAGUUCAGAUUCCAGAUGAAAGCAGUUUUUGUGUCUACCCAGUAAUGGUGCAGAGAACUUUAGAGAACCUUUAACCCCCAUGCUUUUGAAGUGAGACCUGUUACAUGUGCCAGUUGUGAUGUACAGGAACAGAAUUGAUACUAAAAUAGCUCUUUUCCCUCCUUAGUGCACCAAUCCCCACUGCUGCUGUACCUGCAUUCCUCUAAUCACCUGUCAACAAUUGUUCUUUAUUUUUAUCCUGGGGGCAGGGGGAAGCACCAAGAAUUAAUUUGCCUUCCUAAUUAGCAUUCUCAGGAGCUGGCUGAGCUGAGCUUAGGCUGUUCCUUGGGCAGGUUGGGCAGGGCUGGAGGCAGGUGAGCUCUGGUGGAGCCUGUUGUGUUGCCAGCGUCGUGCCAUGCCAUGGCUGUACCAUCCUGUCGGAUAGCUUAUCAGACUGAUGUUGACUGUUGGAUCUCAUGGCAACAACAGUCGGUAGGCUGUCUGACAUUUUGGUAUCUCUCAUCUGAGCGUUCCUCAUCCAUCCCCAGCUGUUUCCAUCAGUGUCUGUGGUAGGGCUGGGAACGAGCUCCGAGCGCCGCGGUCCUGCAGAACAGAGCCCUCCUAAAGCUUCCCCUGGGCAGGGUGAGGUUUGUACCGAUUCUCUUUGGCUUCACAGGGAACUUGAGGCAGUGCUGGGAAUGACUGGGCAGGAUUUGCUCCAGCAGAUUCAAUUCCAAGAUCUGAAAGUGCCAGCGCAGGAGUUGGUACGAGGGAGUUAAAAGCACAAAGGCCGUUCAGCUGCUCCUGGUGAUUUUUAAAAGGUGAACAGUAUUUACUAAAUCUUACCAUUUUUUGGUCUGAAUGUGGCCUUUGACUAUAAUGUCACAAAGAACUUGUUCUGGUACAAUUCCAAACCCCACAGCUGUGUUUGGAACUUCACCUCAGCCUGCAGAGCCUCAGUGUUGCAUUUGGUAAGGGAUCACCUCAGAGUUCCAUUUCCCCUCAGGACUGCAUCAGUGACAGCCCUUGGCUGCUCUCCCCUCUUCCAGUGGCAGCUUUUUGGUACCCAAAUUUGUCACCUGAGGGACACAGGUAUUUCCUAACCUCUCACACUUCUGGGAGGGGAUAGAAUUGAUGCCAUGCUGGGAUCCCUGUGUGCUCUCAGGUUGGAAUCAGGACACUGCAAGAACUAAAAGAGAAAAAAACCCUUUUUCCUAGAGCCUGAGCCAAUAAACUGACCCUUUCUAAAUGCUUUAGAGAUCUCCUUAAAAUUCUGCCUCUUGCCUGCUGGAAAAGCACAAGGAAAAUUGAAAGCUUUCUCCUAUUUUUGGUUCAAUAUGUUUACAUAUUUAUAGUGUGAAAUAUAUAUAUAUCUAUAUUGUUCUUCAGCUUGUGUUUCCAUGUGUCCAUUCCAAUAAGCUCUGCUGUUAUUUUGAGGCUUUCUAACACUAUUUAAAGAAGGAAGUGAUCAUUCUACCUGCUUCUACCUGGGAGAUAAGACUUGGUAAAAGGUAAAAAAACCCUAAUAAUAGAAACAAAAGUGACACAAACCUGAUGAGAUUUGCAAUGGAUAGUUUUAUGUUUGCUUAAAUAAACAAAGAAAUAUCGUU